rnacentral:misc_RNA from 1 species
GGGUUCCAGUGCUGGGGAUUGUUGCAGCUGCAGCCAUCACCUUCUACGCCGUAAGCUUUUCAGAGCUUCGAGAGAAAUCAUUCAGAGACUUUGAUGAAUCAGAGGAUCAGAAAGGAGGGUUCCAGAUGACUUCAAGUUCAAGAGAAAGGCGAGCAAGAAGGAAGGCUGAAAAGGAAGCUAAGAGAUGAUAUCAUUUCCUCUCCGAUUAUCUGUGAGAUAAUUUGC